rnacentral:snoRNA from 1 species
CACAUAUUUUACCAACUUCCGGAUUACCAGCAAGACUAAAAUACCUCUGUUUAGUUAAGCAAAAAUGGCUGGAAGGAGAUUACAAACACUAACCCAUUGUAUAUAAUCCGGUAUUAGGAGCUACAACUCGACGAGUAUGUGUACUUUUGUUCACAUUUUUCAUUGUGUGGUAGGGCCAAUUAUAAUGCCAGGUUCGCUUGAUGGGUACAUCC